UACGUAGGGGGCUAGCGUUGUCCGGAAUCAUUGGGCGUAAAGAGCGUGUAGGCGGCCCGGUAAGUCCGCUGUAAAAGUCAAAGGCUCAACCUUUGAAUGUCAGUGGAUACUGCCGGGCUAGAGUCCGGAAGGGGCGAGUGGAACUCCUGGUGUAGCGGUGGAAUGCGCAGAUAUCAGGAGGAACACCAAUAGCGAAGGCAGCUCGCUGGGACGGUACUGACGCUGAGGUGCGAAAGCGUGGGGAGCAAACAGG
rnacentral:rRNA from 1 species